rnacentral:lncRNA from 1 species
CUCUGGACCUGGCCCAUAAUAGGUGCUCAAUAAAUUUUUGGUAAAUAAAUGAUUCAAACUUUUUACACUUCAAGAUAAAAAGUAUGAAAAGCUGGUGGGGAUAAAGUCUCGGUUCUUUUCCUAGCCCCAGUCCCAUAGCAUUUCAGAGAUGGGGUAGGUGGUGCUACACUACUCAACAGGCUUUUGUUUUUUAACUCAUUUAACUCAAGUGAGUUGGUGAAGGCAUUCAAUUGGUGGUUUUUUAUGUAUAGAGAAAUUACCUCUGUCCUGAUUUGGAAUAUCUGUGCUAUUUUGGGCUGUUUUUCUCUUUUGGGCCUGUUUGUAUUGUAGCAAUAAUUUCACCAUUUGGCUAUGCAGAGGCCCAAUUAAUAUUACAAAUGUGGUCCUAUAAAAUGUGCUUUUUGACAUCAGAACGUUUUGUUGCUAAUUACUCUCCAAGGUUUUUAAUUUCAAGCCCUCCUUGGUGACUUAGUGCAGAAAUUUAAGGACAUAAUUAUUUCCCCCCAAGGGAAAAGAGAUCUAGGUAAUGCCAAGUUUCUAUCUAUUUGCCCUUCCUUCCAGGGGGUAUCUUGUUUUUGAUUCUAUCUCCGCCCUUUUUCCUGGACAGAAAAUAAACAUGCAAACAAAAACCCUAUUGGAACAAAAAUAUAAAUUUCUGGAAAACAUUAAAAGCACUCAUUUACUAAUGUAUUAAUUAAAACAAUAUUUACUGAGCACCUACUAUGUGUCAGAUGCUGCAUGCUAGGCACUAAAAAUAAAAAAGAAUAUAGCAUGGUGCUGUCUCCAGGUAGCUCACAGUCAAGUGGGCAGCAAGCAAGUGCUGGGAAUUCUCUGACACAUCUGGAAACAUCUGGGGGUGCUUCUCAUGGUGGGGCUUAUUCAUUAGAGCCCAUCCAGAAGUGCCACAUCAGUCUCCACGAAUUAAAAUCAGGAGAGCUUUGGCCAUUUCUCAUUUGAAGACCUUGGCUAACUGAAAGAAAUCCACAUUUUAAUAACAUUUUGAAUGGGUUGAUAAAAUAGGAACAGAUGGUUAAAGUUUGUCAUUUUAGGGAAAAUAAUGAAAUAUUGUACUGCUUAAUCUGUCUUCCUGUCACACUCUUCCCUAUCCCCUCCCUACUGAAAAUAUAUUCAGAUGCAACAAAACUUAAAGCAAAAUACUAAUAUCUUCUUAGACACUUUAGGUCUCUUCACCUGAAAGUGCUCUAAUUGUGUCAGCCAUCUCUGUGUUAACUUUAUCUUUUUUUUUUUUUCAGACACAUUCUCACUUUGUCACCAGGCUGGAGUGCAGUGGAGCAAUCUUGGUUCGCUGCAAUCUCUGCUUCCUGGGUUCAAGUGAUUCUCCUGUCUCAGCCUCCUAAGUAGCUGGGACUCCAGGCGCAUACCACCAUGACUGGCUAAUUUUUGUAUUUUUAGUAGAGACGGGGUUUCACCAUGUUGGCCAGGCUGGUCUUGAACUUCUGGCCCCAAGUCAUCUGCCUGCCUCAGCCUCCCAAAGUGCUGGGAUUACAAGUGUGAGCCACUGUGUACAGCCUUUGUGUUAACUUACUUUGAAUUAGCCCCUUAUUCCAAAGCUGCCUCCUGAAAGGAGGCUUCCUAAAAGGUGUUGCUUUGGGGUAAAUAAGAGGUGCUGGUGAAGUGAGACUAGCUUGCGCAUCUCUCUGCCAUGAAGGAAACUAGCUCCGCAGACGUUUUACUAACCACAGCAGACCCCCUCCUUGAGGAACCCAGAAGGGCAGAGGUAAGUUGGGUAACGUGUUCUUAAGUCUUCCAUUUACCUGACCCUGGGGUUCAUAUGGGGAUAAGCUCCAGCUGCUGACACCUUCUGAUCAAGAGAAGGCAGAAUGUCACCACUAUCACCUGCACUUUGUUUGGAUUUGCCUCUAUACCCACUGCAUUUCUCUGAUGUUUUUUUCUACCAUUCUGUUUGGACAGAGCAUCAGAUGAAAUCAACUGCUGAGAGAGGGAAGUGAGUGCUGUGUUGGCACCGCUGCCAGAAACUCUUGAGAAUGAGCAUCGUGUGCCACUUAUCCACUGCUUGCCGACUUCAGUAGCAAGAGCCUCCAGAAUGCUCAUGGAUAAACAUCAUCUUUGUGGCCACACAUUGUUUUAUGAGCUGAGUCAUCAGACUGGCUGGCUCCUUAAAUGCUGCUGUGUGAUUCUCUAGGCAGCAGAAAACAAGGAGAGAAGAUAUGAAGUGUAUCUCAUCGAGCUUUGUAGAGGGCCAGUAUCAUUCACCAAAGGUGAUGGGGGAUUUACCAUUAUGGAGUUUGCUUGUGAUAAAAAAUUAUUGAUCAACUUAAACUCUAAGAGAAAAAGAUGAUGCUGUCUGCAUUUCUUGUAAAUUAUUUAUAAAAUUUGUUUGGGUAUCGGCUAUUUUUAACAGCCACCAGUCUUAACGAAUUUCCUGCAGAAAACUUGAUUCCUUCCUUGCUCAUCGAGUUGCAAUUUAUCAUCUAAGGUAAUGAGUUAAACCCAAAAGUAACAGUGACAUGAUAAGUGAAACUGUUUGCAUACUUUGUUUUUUAAAUUGCUCUAUCAUGUUUAUCUUUUUUAUAGCUACUCAAUAAGACAUUGCAAUGAAUUUUUAAUUAAAACCAAUAUGUCUA